rnacentral:rRNA from 1 species
AGUGAACGCUGGCGGUAGGCCUAACACAUGCAAGUCGAACGGCAGCACAGUAAGAGCUUGCUCUUACGGGUGGCGAGUGGCGGACGGGUGAGGAAUACAUCGGAAUCUACUUUUUCGUGGGGGAUAACGUAGGGAAACUUACGCUAAUACCGCAUACGACCUACGGGUGAAAGCAGGGGUUCUUCGGACCUUGCGCGAUUGAAUGAGCCGAUGUCGGAUUAGCUAGUUGGCGGGGUAAAGGCCCACCAAGGCGACGAUCCGUAGGUGGUCUGAGAGUAUGAUCAGCCACACUGGAACUGAGACACGGUCCAGACUCCUACGGGAGGCAGCAGUGGGGAAUAUUGGACAAUGGGCGCAAGCCUGAUACAGCCAUACCGCGUGGGUGAAGAGGGCCUUCGGGUUGUGAAGCCCUUUUGUUGGGAAAGAAAAGCAGCAGGUUAAUACCCCGCUGUUCUGACGGUACCCAAAGAAUAAGCAACGGCUAACUUCGUG